rnacentral:lncRNA from 1 species
UUUUUUUUUUUUUUAUAUCUUUGGUAUUGAAAUCAAGGUGAGGCUGGCCUUGUAAAAUGAAUUCUAAAGUACUUCCUCUGCAAUUUUUGGCAUAGUUUGAGAGGAAAGGGUAUUAAUUCUUCUCUAAAUGUUUAAUAGAAUUCAUCAGGGAAACCAUCUGGUCCUAGACUUUUCGUUUGUUUGGAGUUUUUGAAUUACUGAUUCAAUUUCACUACUGGUAAUUGUUCUAUUCAUAUUUUCUGUUUCUCCUUGGUUCAGUCUUGGGAGAUUGGGAGUAAUCUUUUUUGAUCAUUUGUGUGUCUAUGGUGUUGGUUGUAACAUCUCGUUUUUAUUUUCUGACUUUAUGUAUUUAUUUUUUAGGCCAUGUGCACAGCAUGUGGAAGUUCCUGGUCCAGGGAUCAAACCUGUUCCACAGCAGCAACCCAAGCUUCUGUAUUGACAAUGCUGGAUACUUAACCCACUGUGCCCCAAGGGAACUCCUUUCGUUUCUGACAUUAUUGCUUUGAGUCCUCUAUUUUUUUUCCUUGAUGAGCCUGGCUAAGCAUUUAUCAGUGUUGUUACAUUUUUUAAAGAAACAGCUCUUAGUUUCACUGAUUUUUUUCUAUUGUUUUUAUAGUCUCUCUUUCAUUGAUCUCCACUGUAUUCUUUAUUUCUUUCCCUUUACUAACAUUGCCUUUUGUUUGUUCUUCCAUUUAUAGUUCCUUUAGGUGUAGGGUUAAGUUAUUUGAGAUUUUCCUUAUUCCUUUAGGUAGGCUUCUAUUGUGAUGACUUUCCCCCUUAGAACUGCUUUUGCUUCAUCCCAUAGAUUUUGGAUCAUUGUGUUUUCAUUUUCAUUUUUCUCUAAGGUUUUAAAAAAUUUCUUUAAUUUCUUCGGUGAUCCAUUAGUUGUUUAGUAGCAUUUUUUUUUUUUUGUCUCUAUGUAUUUGUGUUUUUUUGCAUUUUUUUGUCUUGUUGAUUUCUAGUUUCAUAGCAUUGUGGUAAAAAAAAAACAAACAAAAAAAACGCUUGCUUUUAUUUCAAUUUUCUUAAAUUUACUGAGUUUUUUUCUGGCCUGGCAUGUGAUCUAUCCUGGAAAGUAUUCCAUGUGCAUUUGAAAAGAAUGUGUAUUCUGGUGCUUUUGGAUGGAAUGUUCUGUAUGUCUAUUAAGUCCAUUUGUUCUAUUGUGUCAUUUAAAGCCAGUGUUAGCUUUAUUACUUUUCUGUCUGAAUGAUCUGUUCAUUGAUGUAUUAAAGUCUUCUAGCAUUAUUGUGUUACUGUCAUUUUCUACCUUUAUAGCUGUUAAUAUUUGCUUUAUGUAUUUAGGUGCUCAUAUGUUGCAUGCAUAUAUAUUUAUAAUUGUUCCGUCUUCUUGGAUUGAUCACUUGUAAUUAUAUAACAUCCUCUUUUGUCUCUUUUUAUUCCUNGUUUUAAAGUAUGUUUUGUCUGAUAAAAAUAUAGCUACCAUGGCUUUCUUUUGAAUUCUGUUUGCAUCCCCCGACUCUCAGUUUGUGUAGGAUCUAAAGUGAGUCUCAUGUAGGCAGCGUAUAUAUGGAUCCUGCUUUUGUAUCCAUUCUGUAUUUACAUUUAAAGAAAUUUUAAUAGGUAUGUAAUUACUGUGUUUUGUUAAUUUUGGGGGGUUAUUUGUAGUUCCUUUUUAUUUUUUUUAGUUUUUCUCCUUCCUUGUGAUUUGAUGACUGUCUUUAGUGUUACGUUUGCAUUUCUUUCUAUUUUUUUGUGUAUCUCUUUAAGAUUUUUGGUUUGUGGUUACUAUGAUGAUUAUAUAUAGCAAGCUCUUUAUGUAGAGAUUAAGUUGCUGAUCCCUUCAUUUCAAGAGCAUUUUAACAACCUUGCAUUUGUACUUUCUUCCCUCCAGUGAUUACUGUUUUUGACAUUGUAUUUUACAUCUUUUUGUUUUAUGGAUCCCUUAAGUACUUAUUGCAGCUAUAGAUGAUUUUACUACUUUUGUCUUUUAAUCUUCUUACUAGCUUUUAUGUGAUUGAUUUGCUACCUUUCCCAUAUAUUUGCCUUUACCAAUGAGCUUUUUCCUUUGGCAAUUUUCAUGUUUCUAGUUGUGGCCUUUUCUUUUUAACUUAGGGAAGCUCCUUUAACAUUUUUUUGUAAAGUUGAUUUGGUGGUGUUGAACUCUUUCAGGUUAUGCAUCUGUAAAACUUUUGAUCUCUCUAUCAAAUCUGAAUGAAAGCCUUGCUGGAAAAAAUAUUAUUGGUUAUAAUAAUAAUCCCUCUUAUCAGUUUAAAUAUAUUGUCCCAGUCCCUUCUGGCCUGCAGCUAAAAGUCAGCCGAUAGCCUUUUGGAGUUGCCUUGAAUGUAAUGUGUUGCUUUUUUCUUGAUGAUUUUUAAUAUUCUCUCUUUACCUUUAAUUUUUGCCAUUUUAAUUACGGUAUGCCAUGGUGCACUGUUCUUUGGGUUGAUCCUGUUUGGAACUCUCUGUGUUUUCUGGAUCUGGGUGUCUGUUUCCUUUCUCAGAUUAGGGAGGUUUUCAACUAUUAUGUCUUCAAAUAUGUUUUCUACCCCUUUCUCUCUCUUUUCCUUUUGGGAUUCCUAUAACGCUUGUGUUAGUAUACUUGAGGUUGUCUUAUAAGUCUCUUAAGCUGACUUCAUUUCUUUUUAUUGUUUUUUUUAUUUUCCUGUUUUGUUUCAGUAAUUUCCACUACUCCAUGUUCCAUAUUGCCAAUCCAUUCCUCUCUGUCAUUUAACCUGUUGAUUCAUUUUAGUGUAUUUUUCAUUUUAGUUAUUAUAUUAUUCAUCUGUUUUAUUCUUCUUUAUGUUUUCUAAUUCUGUUUAAAAAUUCUAAUUUCUCACUCUGUUCUUCUAUUCUUUUACUGAGUUCUUUGAUCAUCUUUACAAGCAUUACUUUGAACUAAUUAUCAAGUAGAUUGCCUAUCUUCACUUAGUUCUUCUUUUGGAGUAUUAUCUUACUCCUUCAUUUGGAAUAUGUUCCUCUGUUGCUUCAUUUUGCCUAAUUUUCCAUUUGUAUUUCUAUAUCUGUGGGUUAGUUACUUUUCCAGACCUUGGAGAAGUGGUCUUUUGUAAGAGACAUCCUAUGCCUUCCAGCAGUGUACUCUCCCUGGUCACCAAAGCUAUAUGCUGUGGGUCCUUCUGUAGUCUGGACUGAUUACUGUGGGUGGUCUGAUGGGUAUGGUUGGCCCACAGUCUGGUUGGUUGCCAGGCCCUGACUUGUGUGGAGGACACUGGCUGCUGGUUGGCAGGGCCAGGUCAUGAGUUGGCUGACUCCGGAAGCUUGGGGGCUCCCCGGGCUGAUGCUUGCUCACUUGUGGGCAGAGCUGGGUCCCAGGGUCUCUGGCUAUAGUGUGCUAGGGGUCCUGGAGUUGGUGUGUUGGUCUUCUGGUAGGUGAGGCUGAGGUCUAUAUAUAUUUGGAAUCAUAUUGUCAAUUUCUCCUUUAAAAGAGCUUGCUGGGAUUUCGAUUGGCAUUGCAUUGAAUCUAAUAAAUUAAUUGAGGGAGAAAUUAACGUCUCCUAAUCCAUAAAUAUGGUAUAUGUCUCUCUAUUUAUUUAUUAUAAGAGGAAGAAUAGUAUUUAAUAUUUAAUAUAAUUUGUGUACUGAGAAAGAACAUCACAUAAUUUAAAAAAAAACCGGCUGCUUUACUGAGAAGAUGAAGUUCUUUUUAGGGAGAGAACAGUGUGUGUGUGUGUGUGUGUGUGUGUGAAUCAAAAGACUCAAAACUAAAUUACUCUUUGAAUCAAGUAACAAAAAAUCUCUCUAGUACUUUGAGAAUGGAAGAAAAUGGGGUUACUCACAACCUGGGAUAAACUGUGAAGAUAAAAUAAUAGCCCCAUGAUCAUUAGGAACUAGACGGCAGUAAGAUGCAGUCUGUGAUUUAAAUGGACUAUGAAUGUGGGGCCACUAUUUUUUCUCUAAGAGGAAGGUGACCCUGAGUGUUGAGGUGGUGUCUAAUUCCUGAAAAAGUUGGUUAAAGAAUAUCUUACAGGGUAUAGAUUUUGGGUUAUAUUUGUGAAACAAAAAAAACUCUAUAGUUUUUGUGACAUAAAUAACAGAGAGGACCUCUAUAGCACCCAUCUUUCCUUUAUAGUGGGAACUCUCUGUGCACUACUCCAUCAUCAUGUAAAUGCAGAUAAUAAUUCAGACAGAAUUACCCAUUAACUCUAAUUGGACACUUUGCAAUUUAUCUGGGUUUACAAAAGUCCACAAAAACCACACAAUAUAAAUCUCAAAAGUUAGUAUUUUCUUGGAAAGUAAAAGCUUAUACAAUGAUGUGGUAGGCUAUUUCCAGAAUGGCCCUCAAUGAUCCAUACCUCCUUGUGUUCACUUCUUUGUGAAUCAUUUCCCCUUGUGUGUAGGCUGAGCAUAGUGACUUACUUCUAAGGAGUAGAAUAUGGCACAGUGAAGGGCAGUCACAUCCAAGAUUGGGUUAUGAAAGACUGAUUUUCAUCUUGUUUACACUGUCCCUCUUGCUUUCUAACCUGCUCACCCUCAUGAAGCAAGCUGCCAUAUUCUCACAAACAGCAGUGAACUGCAGACCACAUCAUUGAGAAACUAAGCUCCUCAGUCCAAAAACCCAUGAGGAACCUCCCCAUUUACUUGUAAAAGGGCUGCAGUCUCAGCUGACAAUUUAAUUGCACCCUUAUGAUCCAGAGCCAGAGAACCUAGCUAAGCCACCCCCAGGUUUCUGAUCUAUAGAAACUAGAAUAAUUAUAUAACAACAGAUAAUUAAGACAAAUGGUAAUAUUAAAGACCAGCAUUCUUGAAUGUUAACUAUGUGUCAGUCACUAAGUAUUUUGCAUAGGGCUUCUCUUUUCAUUAUCACAGUAAUCCUAUGAAGAUGAUAUUCAUGUACUCAUUUUGUAGAAGAGGAAACCAAGGCAUAGAGUAGUUUACCAAAGUUAUAGAGCUAGUAAAUAAAAUCAGAAUUUAUUCAUUUUUUAAACUUUUUUGCUUUUUUUUUUCAGGUCACACCUGUGGCAUAUGGAAGUUCCCAAGCUAGGAGCUAUAGCUGCCAGUCCAUACCACAGCCACAGCAAUGUGGGAUCCGAGCCACAUCUGCAACCUACACCACAGUGCUGGAUCCUUUUUACCCAAUGGAGUGAGGCCAGGGUGGAACCCAAGUCCUCAUGGAUACUAGUCAGAUUUCGUUUCCGCUGCACCACAAUGGGAACUCCUAAAAUCAGAAUUUAAAUCUCUAUAGUCUUACUCUAGAACCUAGAUGCUUAAACAGUGUGCUUUAUUUAUCAACUAAUCUCUUUCUUUCUGAAUACAUUUUCCACUAAACUGACUGCUUUAAGUGGAAUUACACUGCUGUUUGUGAAUAAAGUAAUUCUGUAUCUGGACCCAUAGUCACCUUGGAGAUAGGCAGCUAAAGCCGGAGAAGGGAACAGCAGCCUUGUGUGAAAAGCAUAUUCCAUGUAGUUGGGUUAUUUGAUUUGGAAAUGAGAUUUGUCCUACUAGUAGAAAAGUAUAGGAACAAGCAAAAGUUACUAGAGAAAUAUUGGGCAAGGAUGAUUAUUCAGUAUUUUAGCUUUUAUGUUAGUGUAUCAGAUUGUAAGGAUUAAAAUAAAUCAAUCUCUCCCACAGAGGGUAUUUUGUUGUCUUAAGCAUGUCUCAUUUGGGACCUACAAAGAAAAAGGAAGUCAAACUUAAAAUGUUGUGAUGUAAAACAAUUAUUAUGAGAAUAGCUAUGCUGCUUUAAAAAAACCUAUUUUUGGAAAUAGCUUUAAUCUCUUUUAAUAUAAAAGUA